rnacentral:lncRNA from 1 species
GCGGCCGCCAGGAUGUGCCCCCGGCCCCGUCGUCGCGGCGCCCGCGCCCCUCGCCCCAGUACGUCUUUUUUCGUUUCCUAAAUUUCUUAUUUUUGUCCUUGCAAGUGGCCCUGUCUGGUGUGAACCGUCAGCACAGAUGGCCUCCUGGAGCUUCCCCGAGUCGUUCGCUGGGGGAAGCGGGCGGUGAGCGGCCGGCCCGGGCGCUCCGCAGGCCGCGAGCUCCUGGCAGGGCUGGUGGCGGGGGUCCGCCUGGGGGAGGAAUCCCCGCCUGCUCCAUCGGACCCGGCCUGGCGCGGCUCGCGGCGCUCGGCGGGCUCCCUUCCAUUCUAGAAUCUUCCCGCUUGCUUCCCAGCCCGCGUUCUUCCGCCUGCCUUUAAUUGUGUGUGGACGUGGGGAGGAUCUUCUAAGUCCCUCCAACGAAGGCAAGUGUGAGACUCUGGCCCUUUAUUUGUAAGAAGCAAGCCUUCAGAUUGCAGAAGUGUCGCGCGGGUCGCCAUGCGUUGCGCGAGUGGGAAGAUGGAGGAGGCCGGCACGCUGCUUUCGUGGACGCAAGUGAACCGGCCGUGAAGGCAGGGUGCGAGCUCUGCCCUUGGCCCAGCCCUGCGUGGGCGCCGUCCCAGAUUCCGGGCGGUGCGGGGUGCAGAGAUCUGGAGAGAGUUGCGGGGUGCAGAGAUCUGGAGAGACUUGCGGGCUCCCCAGCGCAGGCUGCUCUGGGAUUUCGUUGGAAGAUCCGGCAGAGCCUUGGAGGAGAGGGCCCGGGAGGCUGUGUGUGCAGCGGAAACUUGUACGAAUGCCCCCACAGCGGAAAUGGUGCGCACGAGUAAUUUCUGCGGUGCACCCUUUUAAAAAUUGACAAGUGAACAAGAUCAAUUUUUUAAGAAAGCAAAGGUAGAAAACAAAAGGCGUGCGACUUCUUGACUGGCUUGUUCCCGCCUUUCUUCCUUCUCUAUACUCAGAUCAGAAACUUUAAUUGCUCUUAUUCAGUGCGACAACUUUUAAUAAAAGCAUUUGCAUUUUAAGCCUGAGUUGCAACCAUAGAUUUGUUGCGAAGUGACAACGUGUCUAUGGAAUAUUUUCGCAGAUGAGACAGGACAUGCGCUCUAGUCGUGCCCAGAUUAAAGGGACGCUGGUCCAUGUGCCUGUGUAGUGCAGACUCGGAGGGGCACACACAUACUCGUCAUCACAUGACCACUGUCUAUUAAUAUUGUCAUACCUAAACACUCGCAAAAACAAAAGUUGCUUUUCUUCCCUGUAAUUAAAUCUAAUUUGUUAAUUGUC